AAAACCAGUGCAUCAAUUCAAAAUCUAUAAGCUAAAAUAAAAGGAACAAAUACAUGAAGGGUACAGCUUCUUAUGAACUGGAAGUAGGCUUGCAGCCUGAAAAGAUAUGGGCGGUGUAUCGAGAACUCCGGUUGGCGGAAUUGAUGGUCGAGUUGCUUCCUAAUUUGAUUGAGAAGUUCGACAUAGUCCAAGGUGACGGUGAAGUUGGAACAGUUCUUUGUCUUUAUUAGUCUUCUGGGACACCGAUAGCGGGAAUUUCCAAGGAGAAGUUCACAAAGAUCGACGAUGAGAAAUGAAUAAAAGAGGUUCACACCAUUGAAGGCGGAUAUCUACAACUUGGUUUCGACUCUUUUAUGGUUCGACUUGAGAUCAUAAAAAAGGGCGAAGAUGCUUCGGUCAUAAGAUCGGUCAUGGAGUAUGAAAUCAAGGACGAGUUUGCUGAUAAAGCCUCAUUGGUUUCCAUUGCUACUAUGGCAACAAUUCAUGAAACUAUUGGAAAGUAUCUAGUUGAGCAGGAAUCUUGAACUUGUUUCCCUUCAGAGAAAUCACAAUGAAAUAAAAACAACAAUUGCAGAUCUUUAACAACACCAGUUUCCUCAAAACUCACAAAUGCAACAAUUGCCACUUUUGUAUGUGUAUUUCCUCAUGCCUUUUCCUUGAAUCUUCCUUGCCAUGUUGGAGAAUUGUUUGGAACUUUUAACUGCUUCAUCACACAUUUUUUCUUUCUUAUAAGAUGAAAUUUGCAGAUCUAUUUCAUUACAAGGUGGCAUGGAUUUGAGUCU